rnacentral:pre_miRNA from 2 species
UUGCUUACUGGUGCGGCAUCUUCAAGAUUCACAUACCGUUCAACUCUAUAGUUUCUGGGUUAUGAGAAUCUUGAUGAUGCUGCAUCGGAAAUCAA